AUUGAACGCUGGCGGCAGGCUUAACACAUGCAAGUCGAGCGGGGUGAUGGUGCUGGCACUAUCACUUAGCGGCGGACGGGUGAGUAAUGCUUAGGAAUCUGCCUAUUAGUGGGGGACAACAUCUCGAAAGGGAUGCUAAUACCGCAUACGUCCUACGGGAGGAAGAAGGGGAUCACUUGUGACCUUGCGCUAAUAGAUGAGCCUCGGUCGGAUUAGCUAGUUGGUGGGGGAAAGGCCUACCAAGGCGACGAUCUGUAGCGGGUCUGAGAGGAUGAUCCGCCACACUGGGACUGAGACACGGCCCAGACUCCUACGGUAGGCAGCAGUGGGGAAUAUUGGACAAUGGGGGGAAUCCUGAUCCAGCCAUGCCGCGUGUGUGAAGAAGGCCUUAUGGUUGUAAAGCACUUUAAGCGAGGAGGAGGCUCUUUUGGUUAAUACCCAAGAUGAGUGGACGUUACUCGCAGAAUAAGCACCGGCUAACUCUGUGCCAGCCGCCGCAGUAA
rnacentral:rRNA from 1 species